GCUUACGGCCACACCGGCCUGAGUAGGCCUGAUCUCGUCCGAUCUCGGAAGCUAAGCAGGGUCGGACCUGGUUAGUACUUGCAUGGGACACUGCCUGGGAAUACCAGGUGCUGUAAGCU
ensembl:rRNA 5S_rRNA 5S ribosomal RNA